UUUUUUGAGAAUUUGAUCCUGGUUCAGGAUGAACGCUGGCGGUGUGCCUUAAGCAUGCAAGUCGUGCGGGUUUUGUCGCAAGACAGAAUCAGCGGCAAACGGGUGAGUAACGCGUAGGGAUCUACCUUUUCGUGGGGGAUAGCUCGCCGAAAGGCGGGGUAAUACCGCAUGUGAUCGCGAGAUGAAAGUCGUAAGACGCGAAAAGAGGAACCUGCGCCCCAUCAGGUUGUUGGCGGGGUAAUAGCCCACCAAGCCUAUGACGGGUAGCCGGAGUGAGAGCUCGAUCGGCCACAAGGUAACUGAGACACGGUGCCUACACCUACGGGUGGCAGCAACUGGGAAUCUUGCGCAAUGGACGAAAGUCUGACGCAGCG
rnacentral:ncRNA from 1 species